rnacentral:rRNA from 1 species
GAAUAUUGGUCAAUGGAGGCAACUCUGAACCAGCCAUGCCGCGUGCAGGAUGAAGGCCCUCUGGGUUGUAAACUGCUUUUCUCUGGGAAGAAAAAAUUGGAUUUAUCCGAUACUGACGGUACCCGAGGAAUAAGCACCGGCUAACCCCGUUCCAGCAGCCGCGGUAAUCCGGAGGGUGCAAGCGUUAUCCGGAUUCACUGGGUUUAAAGGGUGCGUAGGCGGAUUUCCAAGUCAGAGGUGAAAGCCCGGGGCUCAACUCCGGAAUUGCCUUUGAUACUGGUUGUCUUGAAUAUAGUUGAGGUAGGCGGAAUGAGUCGUGUAGCGGUGAAAUGCAUAGAUAUGACUCAGAACACCGAUUGCGAAGGCAGCUUACUAAACUAUUAUUGACGCUGAGGCACGAAAGCGUGGGGAGCAAACAGG